rnacentral:rRNA from 1 species
UAAACGACUCUCGGCAACGGAUCUCUCGGCUCUCACAUCGAUGAAGAACGUAGCGAAAUGCGAUACUUGGUGUGAAUUGCAGAAUCCCUCGAACCAUCGGGUCUUUGAACGCAAGUUGCGCCUGAAGCCAUUAGGUUGAGGGCACGUUUGCCUGGGCGUCUUGC